rnacentral:lncRNA from 1 species
GGGCGGUCAAGGUAGUCGGAGCUUCCUGCGGGGAGAAUUGGUGGCUCCCAGGGCGCGCGCCCAGACUGAAGAUGCAGUCCCUGAUACAAAUGCACACCCCGGGAUGCAUAAGAGCCCAGGCGCACGAACGUCAUCCAUGUGGCCAGACCAACUGACACCAUUUGAUGGUGCUGUCACUUCUCAUCUCUUUCUUAGCAAAGGCUCACAUAAAUUUCUACUUUGGCCCAGAAACGUACUCCGUUUUCCAUGAAGACCAAGCAAACGCUGCCCUGGGUCCUCCUUUGCCGGGAUUGGAGUCUGGACAUCUGGGUCUCAUCCUUGUUCUGCAACAACUUCCUGCGAGUCUUCACCUUGGCAGCCAUGGUUGAUUCCAGAAGCCUGAAGUUCCAGUUACCAGGUUUCCUUCCCUGGCACCCACUUUAGAGACACCAGCACCAGCCUAGCCCCUCUUUGGCUCCAGGUUCCACUAACCCCAGCCCCCAGGUGAUAGCUGCUUCCUGCAGUGAGUAUGUCUUUGUGUGACCUUGGGUUCUUGUCUGACCUUUUUGCACUUCAAAACCUGCUUAACCAAGUCCUGUUUUAGAUGAUUUCUGUCAAAACUUGUAUGAUUUCCGAAAGACAGAAAUGGCUGUUUCUUUUUUUCCUUUUUUGGCUGCCCUAUGGCAUGUGGAGUUUCCAGGGCAGUGAUCUCAUCAGAUCUGUUGCCUACAUCAGCUCUGGCAACGCUGUGUCUUUUAGCCCACUGUGCUGGGCUAGGGAUCGAACCUGCAUCCUGGCACUGCUGCUGAUCCUGCUGUGGCACAGCGGAAACUCCAGAAAUGGCUCUUUCAAUAAUUCAGUCCAUUAACACUCAUGGAGGGCAGUUCUAGCUUUAUGCUGAAGUUACAAAGGUAAACAAAAUGCAUCUCUGUCUUUGAGAAGAAUCAAUGUUGAGUAAUGAUAACAGUGGUCUCUAUAGAACUCUGGUUUUGACAAGCAACAACAACAAAACGCAAAUGAUUAGAAUUAACACAUCAUUUAAAGAAAGAAAAAAAAUAUACUAUUGAAAAUGGACCAAGGUCUAAACCGGGAAUUCACAGAAGAAAUAAUAAAAGUGGUCAAGAUUUAUAUAAAUUGAUGCUUAACCUCAUUUUAAUGGAGGAAAUUCAAAUUAUAGUCAUGCACAGCUGGGUGUGAGUACAGCCACUUAAGAGUCACUUUGUAUAACCCAUCACCCUGAAGUUCUAUUGUUAAUAGCUGCCCCAGAGAGAGACUUAAACCAUGUACCAAAGGAAGCACCUACAAGGAUCUUCAUGUAAUGUUAUUUUUAACAGUGAGAAAUUAAGGGAGUUCCUGUUGUGGCUCAGUGGAAAUGACUAGUAUCCAUGAGGAUGUGGGUUCGAUCCCUGGCCUAGCUCAGUGGGUUAAAGAUACCACGUUGCUGUGAGCUGUGGUGUAAGCCGGUGGCUGUAGCUCCAAUUUGACCCCGAGUUUGGGAACUUUCAUAUGUAGUGGGUACGGCCCUAAAAAGCAAGAAGAAAAACCAGUGAGAAAUUCAAAAUAAUAGAAAUAUUCAUUAAAAACAGGAAUAGCUAAAUAGAUAAUUGUACACCUUUUUUUUAAAGGAUUUUUAUUUUUUCUAUUAUAGGUGAUUUACAUUGUUCUGUCAAUUUCUGUUGUACACCAAGUACCCAGUGAUACAUACAUAUAUGUGUGUGUGUGUGUGUGUGUGUAUAUAUAUAUAUAUAUUCUUUUUCUCACAUUAUCCUCCAUCAUGUUCCAUCACAAGUAACUAGAUAUACUUCCCUGUGCUAUACAGCAGGAUCUUGUACACACUUUUUGUGGAAAAUAUGCUGCAGUUUUCUAAAAUGAGGUGGACCUAAAUAUACUGACAUAAAAAAUUGUUUAAGCCAUAUAAAAACAUAUACACACAUAGAUAUCUUUUCUAUGGGCAACUCCUUGAAGAAAAGUCUGGAAGCAUAUACAUUAUGUUGCUAAUAUUUGUAGAAAGAGGACUAAAAUAGGGGGCAUUGGAGAAGGGAAAAAUCAAAGGGUACAAACAAAACACAAGCCCCUCUAAUUUUCAAAUCACCCUUUUACAUAAAAUGUCACUUACUCCUUAUAUUGACCUUAUGGUGUAAGCAUCAUUUCCACUUACAGAUGAGGGAACCUCAGCUGAGAGAUGCUAAGCCACUCUUACAAACACAACUAGUAGAGAAAUCCCUGGGCUUGAGGCUCUACUUUCCCCAGGCUCCAGAAGGAUUAGGUGGUUAGGUUAAUUGGAACUUGUCUUUGUCACUUUUCACUUUUAAUGAUUUCUCACUGUUUUAAGUGAAAGACACUUUGAGGUACCUCAGACAAUCUACCAUCUGUCAGAGUGAGGAGGGGAAAGAAAACAAUUUGCAAGCUAUCAAAAGAUAGUCCUGAUAUUUAAGAUUCUCUACCUUGCAUUUUCCAGGUGGGAACUUAGGGUCAGGCGUCAAAGGACCAGAGCAUCUGCACCCUAGCUUCUCCCACUGUGGAGUACAAAACUCUGCCCUCAAGUAGCAGGAGGAGCAGGGAAGCGGGAGGCAGUGGGGACAAGAACUGAGCUUUGACUGCCAUUCCCCCAGUGGCUAAGAGCUGCAGAGCCCCUGGUGGGGGUUAGGGAGGGCCCCUGGGGACCUGGGCCUUGCCUUCAAGAGCUCUGAUUCCUUCAUCUUAAUGAUAGCUUCAAAUGAGGUUUGGUUGUUCUUAGCAAGUACAUUUACUGAAACCAUUGAUGUGUCAAAUGUGAACAAAAAUACCACAUUUUUGGUAACUCUAGGAAUUUUCUUCUUCUCUUGUCCCCUACUUCCCCUCCCUCUGUUUCCCUUCUCUCUUCUCCUCUCCCUCCCUCCUUCCUUCAUUCACAGAGAGGGCUUAGUGGCUGGCCUUUCCUUUAAUUUCAUACCAAGUUUGAUACAAAUUUCUUAGUGUAGUCUCUAUCAGCAGUACAGUUGCUAAUUUCAAACACUAAAAAAAAGUUGUAAGUGGGUAAUGGAUAAUAUUUUGAUUGAAUAAUUGAUUUGAUAUAAUAAUUCUCCAGGCUUUCUUGUACCUAUUGGCUUUCUCAUACUGCUGGGGAGAGAGGGGUAGGAUCCUAGAUGCUCUGCCCUCAGGAGAGAGCUGACAAAGAGACAAAGUCUUAACUCUGAGUUCUAAAAUAGAUAAGAUAUAUGCAUAGCAAGAAGGAAAGUCUUGAAAGUCAAGGUUUCUGUUGUAAGAGUUGGGUUUUUGAGACAGAAGGAUUUUAAAUUCUGAAAGUUGGGCUUGGGCCAUCAAUAACUAGUGACCUCAGGAUACAGUUCCUGAGAGCCCACCAUGGGCAUGUCUUCUCAACUCCAUGUUCAGUAACUUAAAAUCAACCAUGGUAAAAGUGUGUGUUCAGGGAGUUCCCACUAAGCUGCAGUGGGUUAAAGAUCUGGCUUGCCUCUGUGGAGGCGCUGGUUUGAUCCCCAGCCUGGCACAGUGGGUUAAGGAUCCAGUGUUGGUGCAGUUAUGUCAUAGGUCACAGCUGUGGUUCAGAUUGGAUCCCUGGCCUGGGAACUUCCAUAUGCCAUGGGUGUCACUAGAAAAAAAAAAA